CAGUACUGAAAAUAAUAAUGUGCGUUACGCAAAUGUGCAAAGGCUUUAAAGCGAUAAAAAUUCAAAACGGAUGUUUCAAGUAUUUUCGUAAUUAAUUUUUCAAUUACGAUUAAAUUAAACUAUCCAAAAAAAUCUCAGAUUUCUUCCUAGUAACUAUUAAGUGGACCCCUUGAAGACACAGCACUUUUUAAGGUAAAACACCCCGAUUUUCAAGGUAGAUCAAAAUUCUAAAAGGUAGAUCAAAAAGUCUAAAAUUUGAAGGUAAAACACCCAGAUUUUCAAGGGUCAACAGAAAAGCAGAAAAAAUCGUGAAAACAUCCCCGAUUUUAAGAUAUAUUUUAAAAUUAACGACUUUAAGAGAAAAACGGUAUUUAUUAUAUAAUUAGGAUUAUAGAAAAUUAAUUAUUUAUGAUCCCAUCACAAGAGUAAAAACAUCUCCAUGUUUAUAAAUUCUUUAAAUUGAUAAGGAUUCCCAUCUAUACGCAUAAAAACCGUAUGGACCAUUAGUCUCAGGUCGAUGAUAUGGACUAGCAAAAGGUUUUACUUUGGUGCAUUUCCAUUAUGUCAAUUGUGUGCCAAAUUAAAUAAUCAAAAAGAUAAAUGUUCUCAUACAGAAUCUCAAAGAAUUAUCAGAGGAACCUGGUGUACCAACGAAGUAAAAAAAGCAGUUGAAAAGGGGUACAAAAUAAUAACUAUUGAUGAGGUCUAGCAUUUUUCCAAAAAAUCAUCAUAUUUAUUUAAAGGAUAUGUAAAAGCGUUUAUGAAAAUUAAAUUAGAAUCAAGUCCUUGGUAGGAUGAUUUUGAAUCAGAAGAAGAAUAUAGAAAAGCCGUAAAAGAAAAUCUAGGUAUUGAAUUGGGUAAAAUAGAAAAUAAUCCUGGAAAGAGGGCUAUUGCGAAAAUAUGCUUAAAUUCCUUAUGGGGUAAAUUUGGCCAAAGACAAAAUAUGGGCGCAACAGAAUAUGUUACGGAUGUUAAAAGAUUUUAUGAAAUUUUAUUAGACGAGAAACUUGAUAAUAUACGUAUAAACGAUAUAAAUGAAAAUAUGUUACAAAUUGAUUAUAAGUUAAAAGAUUGCUAUAUAGAAAAUGAUUUCAAUACCAAUAUAUUUAUAGCUGCUUUUACAACUGCAAAUGCUAGACUAAGAUUGUACGAAAUGUUAGAUAAAUUAGGAAAAAGCGUAGCAUAUUAUGACACUGAUAAUAUUGUAUAUAUAGAAGAUGGAAAAAACACUUUAAAACAGGGUGUCUAUUGGGAGAUUGGACAGACGAAUUAGGUAAAGGCGUAUGGAUAAUAGACUGGAUGGAUAUCAGCAGGUCCAAAAAGUUAUUGUUAUAAGACUAAUACGGAUAAAAAAAAUGCAAGUGAUCCAAUUAGAAAUGCACAUGACACAUAAUAUAGCGAACAGAAUUCGGUUAAUUAAAACAUAAAACCCAAUGAAUAAAUGGUGUAUUAUUUUUUACAAAACUAUGCUAGUAUUUUAUUAUUCUUUAGUAUCAAAUUUUUUUAACAAAAUAAAAAACGUAUUUUUCACUGUAUGUUGCUUGCAUCUCUGAAAUAAGAGAAACUAUCGUGGGCGAUAGUGGAAUUCAGUUUGUUUACAUUAUUUGCAUUUUAUGAGAAAGGACAAGACACCCCGAGGCGAAGGUCGAUGCCUAUCCGAUGAUUGACAGCUGUCACUGAAAACGGUCUAAAAAAAGUAUGCAACUUGUAGUACACCAAUUCUCAAUAAUCGCUUCGGUACCCUGAAGCCUUAAACACAAAAAAAUAAUGCUGAGGAAGUGAGGAACUAUUUUAUUGUUCCUGUUUUAUUGUUUCCCCCAAAUUGCACGCAUGCGUUUGUGCUUGGCUUGGGCCGUUUGAGUCAACAGCAGCUGAUAGUGUUCUGUGGCUGACACUGAUAUUUAAAUCGCUAAAAUUUUUUCCUAUAUAACAAAAAUGGAAGAUAAAACGUAUGGAAUAAAAACACAUCUCGUUGAGGAAUUUAGGCAGUUGCAAAUUAGUAGACAGAAGAGCACCAUGGUGUUUGUGGGUAAUUGCAGUUUGUCUAUUAAUUCCGCCCCUAUAAGGACCACAGUGGAAGCAGGGAACGGUAUCAUUUCGAUUACACCGUUCCCGUUAUUUGCAGCGGGGCUUGUGGGGUACAGAAUACCCCCACAGCGGCUCAAUGCGAUAUUUCCCAACAUUGUAACAAUUUUGUUACACCCUGCUUUAACAAUACACCUAAUGUUUGAUACAGACGACCAGAAAAGGGAGUUUGUAGGACAACUAAAUCUACCUGAAAAUGAAAGUUCCGAGGGAAGUGCAAGUGCCUCGUCUAGCAGCCCGCCCUCCACAAAUCCCUCAACAGACUCGGGUAUUUAACACAUAAUAUGAUAAAAAUUAAUAAAAAGAGAUUUUCGCGAA